rnacentral:rRNA from 1 species
AUGAACGCUAGCGACAGGCCUAACACAUGCAAGUCGAGGGGCAGCACGGAAGUAGCAAUACGACUGGUGGCGACCGGCGCACGGGUGAGUAACACGUAUGCAACCUGCCUGUAAGAGGGGAAUAACCCGGAGAAAUCCGGACUAAUACCGCAUAAUACUGUGAAACUGCAUGGUUUUACAGUUAAACAUUUAUGGCUUACAGAUGGGCAUGCGUAUGAUUAGCUAGUUGGUGAGGUAACGGCUCACCAAGGCAACGAUCAUUAGGGGUUCUGAGAGGAAGGUCCCCCACACUGGUACUGAGACACGGACCAGACUCCUACGGGAGGCAGCAGUGAGGAAUAUUGGUCAAUGGGCGAGAGCCUGAACCAGCCAAGUCGCGUGAAGGAAGAAGGUUCUAUGGAUUGUAAACUUCUUUUGUAAGGGAAUAAAAAAGAGUACGUGUACUCUAUUGUAUGUACUUUACGAAUAAGGAUCGGCUAA